UGGGGAAUUUUGCACAAUGGGGGAAACCCUGAUGCAGCGACGCCGCGUGAUUUAGAAGGCCUUCGGGUUGUAAAAAUCUUUUCUAUGGGAAGAAAAUGACAGUACCAUAGGAAUAAGGACCGGCUAAUUACGUGCCAGCAGCCGCGGUAAUACGUAAGGUCCGAGCGUUGUCCGGAAUCAUUGGGCGUAAAGGGUACGUAGGCGGGUAAGCAAGUUAGAAGUGAAAUCCUAUAGCUCAACUAUAGUAAGCUUUUAAAACUGCUCAUCUUGAGGUAUGGAAGGGAAAGGGGAAUUCCGAGUGUAGCGGUGAAAUGCGCAGAUAUUAGGAGGAAUACCGGUGGCGAAGGCGACUUUCUGGCCAUAACCUGACGCUGAGGUACGAAAGAGUGGGUAGCAAACAGG
rnacentral:rRNA from 1 species